rnacentral:ncRNA from 1 species
CAAAGGUCUUGGUCCUAAACCUCACAUUACCUAAAAUCAUCUGUCUAUACAUGCAAGCCUCACCACAACGGUGAAAUAGCCUCAUAAUCCAGAGCCGGCAUCAGUCACUCACCACGACGCCAAGCAACAGCCACACCCCCACGGGCAACACAGCAGUAAUUAACAUUAGGCCAUAAGUGAAAACUUGACCAAGCAAGAUGAGUAAGGGCCGGUUAAUCUCGUGCCAGCGACCGCGGUUACACGAUAGGCCCAAGGUAAUAUCAACGGCGUAAAAAUGACUAAAAUAGUAGUUAAAACUUAGGGCAGAACUCCGGCUGGGCUGUAAAAAGCCAUAAGCCACACUAAUCCCCGCCCCUAACUCCACACAAAUUUGACUCAUGAAAGCUAGGAUACAAACUAAGAUUAGAUACCCUACUAUGCCUAGCCGUAACACACAAUUAAACAACCAAUUGUUCGCCAAACAACUACGAGCUAUACUUGAAACUUAAAAGACUUGACGGUACUUCAUCACGGCCUAGAGGAGCCUGUCUAAUAACCGACAAUCCACGAUUAACCCAACCCCUUCUUGCCCAACAGUCUAUAUACCGCCGUCGCCAGCUUACCUUGUAAAAGAAAUAAAGUGAGCUAAAUAAUACAACACUAAAACGACAGGUCGAGGUGUAACUUAUGAAGGGGCCAAGAUGGGCUACAUUCUCUCCGAGAAUACGAAUAACACUAUGAAAUUAGUGCUUGAAGGCGGAUUUAGCAGUAAGCUAAGAAUAAAAUACUUAACUGAACAUAACGCAAUGAAGUGCGUACACACCGCCCGUCAUCCCUGCCAUCAUAAUAUUAAACCUUAAUAAACCAACUUAAGAGCUAAUUCAGGGCAAGUCGUAACAUGGUAAGUGUACUGGAAAGUGUACUUAGAAAC